rnacentral:lncRNA from 1 species
GAUGCUGCAAGAAUGCAGGCAGGGAGGGGACUGAAAAGUGGGAUGGCCCUUGGCUUGGUCACUUCCUGCUGCUGAGGGAAUCAGGUGUGUUCUACGAGGCUCUCCAGGCAUCAGCUUCACAGAGAGAAUCUUGAUGCCCAACAAGGACAGCAUUUUCAGAGAUGUACCCUUACAAGGGGUCCCCAUACAAGAUUGAAAUGGAUCACAGGGGAUAAUGCUCUUCCCCCACCGGCCAACUCACCAUGACAUAGAAUGAAAUGGCCCAGCUACAGCCUGGUAACCAAGAUAAAGAACUGAAGAUCCAAAGCCAGAGAAUGAUAAAGUAACUUCAACCUGACACAGUAAAACAUUGCAGGGAGAGUCCGGGAUCUGGAAUGAGAAUGCCACGUCCAGGCUGUGUUACCUUACAAAAAUUAUUAAUGCUUCAGUGGCCUCAUCUGCAGAAUGGAAAUACCAAUAAUAGUAGCUAUCUGAUAAGGUUAUUGUGGGGAUAGUAGGAGACAAUCCAUAAUAAUGUUUGAGUAGUAGCUGGCACAUUGUAGAUACUCAACAUACGCCAGCUAUUAUUGUUAUAGAAAAUAUGCAGAUCUGGAAUAGCUUGGAAAAUGUUUAUGAUACAAUAACAAAUUCAAAAGAAGUCUACUAAAUACUGUGUAUUUUAUGAUUGCAAUUUUGUAAAAACUAUAUCUGCUUAUGGAAAAAGAUUUGAAGAAAAUAUGCUUAUGUGAAAAGAAUUUCUUACA